CGCGUGGGUAAUCUGCCCUUGAAUUUGGGAUAACACUUCGAAAGGGGUGCUAAUACCGGAUAAUAUCUUUUUUGUUGCGGCAAAGAAGAUCAAAGAUAGCCUCUUCUUGAAAGCUAUUGUUUGGGGAUGAGCCCGCGUACCAUUAGCUUGUUGGUGGGGUAAUGGCCUACCAAGGCGACGAUGGUUAGCUGGUCUGAGAGGAUGAUCAGCCACACUGGAACUGGAACACGGUCCAG
rnacentral:rRNA from 1 species